rnacentral:rRNA from 1 species
GACGAACGCUGGCGGCGUGCCUAAUACAUGCAAGUCGAGCGAGCUUGCCUAGAUUACUUUGGUUCUUGCACCAGAUGAAACUAGAUACAAGCGAGCGGCGGACGGGUGAGUAACACGUGGGUAACCUGCCCAAGAGACUGGGAUAACACCUGGAAACAGAUGCUAAUACCGGAUAACAACACUAGACGCAUGUCUAGAGUUUAAAAGAUGGUUCUGCUAUCACUCUUGGAUGGACCUGCGGUGCAUUAGCUAGUUGGUAAGGCAACGGCUUACCAAGGCAAUGAUGCAUAGCCGAGUUGAGAGACUGAUAGGCCACAUUGGGACUGAGACACGGCCAAAACUCCUACGGGAGGCAGCAGUAGGGAAUCUUCCACAAUGGACGCAAGUCUGAUGGAGCAACGCCGCGUGAGUGAAGAAGGGUUUCGGCUCGUAAAGCUCUGUUGGUAGUGAAGAAAGAUAGAGGUAGUAACUGGACUUUAUUUGACGGUAAUUACUUAGAAAGUCACGGCUAACUACGUG